CUACUUACCUGUCAGGGGAGACCCCAUGAUCAUGAAGGUGGUUUUCCCAGGAUGAGACUCAUCCUUUGCAGCCCAAGUGCGCUGCCCCUGCAAUUCCCCAAAUGCGGGAAACCUGACUGCAUAAUUUGUGAUAGUGGGGAAUCAAAUUAAGAAUUAAUUAAUUAAGAAGCAUUCUUGUCCUAC
rnacentral:snRNA from 1 species